rnacentral:rRNA from 1 species
UGUGCCAGCCGCCGCGGUAAUACGUAGGGUGCGAGCGUUGUCCGGAAUUACUGGGCGUAAAGGGCUCGUAGGUGGUUUGUCGCGUCGUCUGUGAAAUUCCGGGGCUUAACUCCGGGCGUGCAGGCGAUUCGGGCAUAACUUGAGUACUGUAGGGGUAACUGGAAUUCCUGGUGUAGCGGUGAAAUACGCAGAUAUCAGGAGGAACACCGAUGGCGAAGGCAGGUUACUGGGCAGUUACUGACGCUGAGGAGCGAAAGCAUGGGUGGCGAACAGGAUUAGA